UGGGGAAUAUUGGACAAUGGGCGAAAGCCUGAUCCAGCCAUGCCGCGUGCAGGAUGAAGCAUCUAUGGUGUGUAAACUGCUUUUGUACGGGAAGAAACCACCCCUCGUGAGGGGUAUUGACGGUACCGUAAGAAUAAGGAUCGGCUAACUCCGUGCCAGCAGCCGCGGUAAUACGGAGGAUCCAAGCGUUAUCCGGAAUCAUUGGGUUUAAAGGGUCCGUAGGCGGGUCUGUAGGUCAGUAGUGAAAUCUCCCCGCUCAACGGGGAAACUGCCAUUGAUAAUGCAGGUCUUGAAUUAUUGGGAAGUAACUAGAAUAUGUAGUGUAGCGGUGAAAUGCUUAGAGAUUACAUGGAAUACCGAUUGCGAAGGCAGGUUACUACCAAUGGAUUGACGCUGAUGGACGAAAGCGUGGGUAGCGAACA
rnacentral:rRNA from 1 species